rnacentral:tRNA from 2 species
GGUCAGGUAGCUCAGUCGGUAGAGCAGAGGACUGAAAAUCCUCGUGUCGGCGGUUCGACUCCGUCCCUGACCA